GAUCACAAUGAUGUCCACAUGAAAUUCAAGCCCAACAGACCGGAAAGCAAGCUCCUCUACACUCUAGAGAACUUUGCAUGUUGACAACCCCAAUGACCUGAGCGAUC